UGGGGAAUUUUGGACAAUGGGGGCAACCCUGAUCCAGCCAUCCCGCGUGUGCGAUGAAGGCCUUCGGGUUGUAAAGCACUUUUGGCAGGGAAGAAACAGCCUGGGAUAAUACCCCGGGCGACUGACGGUACCUGCAGAAUAAGCACCGGCUAACUACGUGCCAGCAGCCGCGGUAAUACGUAGGGUGCAAGCGUUAAUCGGAAUUACUGGGCGUAAAGCGUGCGCAGGCGGUUCGGAAAGAAAGGUGUGAAAUCCCAGGGCUUAACCUUGGAACUGCACUUUUAACUACCGAGCUAGAGUACGUCAGAGGGGGGUAGAAUUCCACGUGUAGCAGUGAAAUGCGUAGAGAUGUGGAGGAAUACCGAUGGCGAAGGCAGCCCCCUGGGCCAAUACUGACGCUCAUGCACGAAAGCGUGGGGAGCAAACAGGAUUAGAUACCCUGGUAGUCCACGCCCUAAACGAUGUCAACUAGUUGUUGGGGAUUCAUUUCCUUAGUAACGUAGCUAACGC
rnacentral:rRNA from 1 species